UGGUAACUUUAAGGCUGCUCUGUGAAGGAGCACUGUAAUUGCCGAAUAGGCUGGGAUCAUUUUAAGGCAAGCAGGCAAAUACCCACCCGCUUUGAAGAUGGAAUUCAAUCAAUUUCUGAAAUGUAGUACCUGCGAGAAUCGGGGACCAGACUGGGUGAGCCCGGCAGCCCUUGUAAUCUCACAUUCCUUUGGCUGGAGACAGAGACCAAGUUGGUGAAACAACGUCCAUUGCUGUGCAGUCCCCAGGGGGCUGCCAAUUCCCUUUGCAUUCCUCCUGGUGUAGAAGAACAUCAGAGCAUUAAAAAGACACCCAUCACUUUUACAUAUGUGUCUG